rnacentral:rRNA from 1 species
AGCGAACGCUGGCGGCAGGCCUAACACAUGCAAGUCGAACGAACUCUUCGGAGUUAGUGGCGGACGGGUGAGUAACACGUGGGAACGUGCCUUUUGGUUCGGAAUAACUCAGUGUAACUUGUGCUAAUACCGAAUGUGCCCUUCGGGGGAAAGAUUUAUCGCCAUUAGAGCGGCCCGCGUCUGAUUAGCUAGUUGGUGAGGUAACGGCUCACCAAGGCGACGAUCAGUAGCUGGUCUGAGAGGAUGACCAGCCACACUGGGACUGAGACACGGCCCAGACUCCUACGGGAGGCAGCAGUGGGGAAUCUUGCGCAAUGGGGGAAAGCCUGACGCAGCCAUGCCGCGUGAAUGAUGAAGGUCGUAGGAUAGUAAAAUUCUUUCACCGGGGGCGAUAAUGACGGUACCCGGAGAAGAAGCCCCGGCUAACUUCGUG